rnacentral:misc_RNA from 1 species
GACAGACCAUCCGCGUGCCACGAGAGACGCCGCACACCAUCUUCGUACACACACGCACACACACACACACACACAUACACCUCCUCUUCCCCACCACAGCACACCUACGGGCGUGCCGCGUAGAACCGCGUGGCUACCAGUUCGUGGGGGGAUAUGACGAACACAGCUACCUCAAGCCCACCGAUGGAGACGCCGCCCUUGCCUGGCAAUGACAGCAACCUUGAGCCUAGCUCCGCGACCGCGGGCAACUCGCACGCACCCGCAAGCACGGCUGAGUCCUCCGAGGAGCUGAAGCGCUUGACGGCACUGGGCACGCUGCUGGUCAACAUGGGCGCCGCCUCCGAGGAGAAAAUCUUCGGAGUGAAGGACUCGGCUCCGAUGCUGGCGUACCGUCAGAAUCGCUUGCACGAGCUCCUCGUCAUCAACCGCCCGCAGGACGACGCAGCCGCGCACAUGUUCAUCUGGUACAAGCCGUGGACGUGGUGGAGUAGCGGUGCGCAGGUGUCGCCGAUCGUCGUCAAGAGGAUGCUGACGGAAGAGGGGAGCGCGGAUGCGCCAAGGACAACGGCGCCGCCCCAGACCCCUGGUAGUACACAGACGGAGGCAGAUGUAGUCGCGCCGCCACCGCCGCCGGACGCCGCGGAGCCGAAUGCAGCGCCGCCGAAGAGGAAGAAAGGGCUGCCUGCAGUGGACAUGCGCGCGCUGACGGACGAGGAAGUGGAUGCCCUCACCCCCGCUGUGCGCGACGAGCGUGCGAAGCUGCUGCUCUCGGAGAAGCACAUCCACGAGACGCUGCAGGGGAUGGAAGACACAAGAUACCGUUACCUGGUCCCUUCGCAUGACCUCAAGUGUGAGGCCGAGGUGAUGGACGUGGUGCGGUGCUACGCGGAGCGCAACCAAGCCAAGGCUGCCUCUCUCGCAGCAGAGGGCGGCCGCGCUCCGCCGGGAGCAGCUGCUACGUCGCACAACCGGCUAAGUGGCGGAGGGGAGAAGGCAGUGGUGCGGGCAGACUUGUUAGCAUGUGGGCCGCACGUGCAACGCCUUAAGACCUGCGCGGAGUCGAUGGUGAUGCAGUAUAGUCGAGAGGGCAAGGUAGCGUAGGGAAGGAAGUUGUGGCGGUGGUAGAGGGCAACAACCGCUCAUGCCGAGCUGAAAUCCACGCACACCGGCCACGACUCCGUCACCCACGCAAGUUCACACUAGAAUCGUUAGAGGGGACACACAAGGCACUAUGGGGGCCCACGUUCACGCGGGUGCGGCCGUGCUGCUGGGUGAUGUAGGAUGAGACGAAGACAAGUCGGCGCACACGUCUUCGCUUCGCGCCGACACAGCGUUCCACCUCUUUUCCGUUUCGUAUUUCCAUAUACACUUAGUCUGAGAGAGUCCCGUGUGCGCGCGCUUGGCGCAUGCCGGCUAACAUGAAGGGUUGGCGGGGGGCCGCUGCACCCCUCCAGACGAG